CUUUGAUGAAGUUUUCGGAUGGAUUUAAAACAGCUUAGUGGCGGACGGGUGAGUAACGCGUGGGUAACCUGCCUCACACUGGGGGAUAACAGUUAGAAAUAGCUGCUAAUACCGCAUAAGCGCACAGUUCCGCAUGGAACAGUGUGAAAAACUCCGGUGGUGUGAGAUGGACCCGCGUCUGAUUAGCCAGUUGGCGGGGUAACGGCCCACCAAAGCGACGAUCAGUAGCCGGCCUGAGAGGGUGAACGGCCACAUUGGGACUGAGACACGGCCCAAACUCCUACGGGAGGCAGCAGUGGGGAAUAUUGCACAAUGGGGGAAACCCUGAUGCAGCGACGCCGCGUGAGUGAAGAAGUAUUUCGGUAUGUAAAGCUCUAUCAGCAGGGAAGAAAGUGACGGUACCUGAAUAAGAAGCCCCGGCUAACUACGUGCCAGCAGCCGCGGUAAUACGUAGGGGGCAAGCGUUAUCCGGAUUUACUGGUGUAAAGGGAGCGUAGACGGCAAGGCAAGUCUGAAGUGAAAGCCCGGUGCUUAACGCCGGGACUGCUUUGGAAACUGUUUAGCUGGAGUGCCGGAGAGGUAAGCGGAAUUCCUAGUGUAGCGGUGAAAUGCGUAGAUAUUAGGAAGAACACCAGUGGCGAAGGCGGCUUACUGGACGGUAACUGACGUUGAGGCUCGAAAGCGUGGGGAGCAAACAGGAUUAGAUACCCUGGUAGUC
rnacentral:rRNA from 1 species